UAGUCCACGCCGUAAACGAUGUCUACUAGCCGUUGGGACCCUUGUGGUCUUAGUGGCGCAGCUAGCGCAAUAAGUAGACCGCCUGGGGAGUACGGUCGCAAGAUUAAAACUCAAAUGAAUUGACGGAGGCCCGCACAAGCGGUGGAGCAUGUGGUUUAAUUCGAUGCAACGCGAAGAACCUUACCAGGUCUUGACAUCCUGAGAAUUCUCUAGAGAUAGAGAAGUGCCUUCGGGAAUUCAGUGACAGGUGCUGCAUGGCUGUCGUCAGCUCGUGUCGUGAGAUGUUGGGUUAAGUCCCGUAACGAGCGCAACCCUUGUCCCUAGUUGCUAGCAGGUAAUGCUGAGAACUCUAGGGAGACUGCCGGUGACAAACCGGGAGGAAGGUGGGGGACGACGUCAAGUCAUCAUGGGCCCUUAGACCUGGGGCUACACACGUGCUACAAUGGCCGGUACAAAGGGGCAGCAAAGCGGGCGACGUGGGAGCC
rnacentral:rRNA from 1 species